AUAGUGUUUGUGUUUGAAUUAAGAUGCAGGAUUAAGAUGUCAAAUCUGCUGCCACCCACAAGAUGCAGUAGUGAUAAAGUCCGGAGAAUGUGGAGUUUCUUAUCAUUCAUCAAACUGAAAGUACUACCUUUAGAUUCAUACUGUUACAGUAAGGUCACCAUAGUUCCAUUUUUAGCGACGUUCCAAUUCCCUUUUCACUUCUGCAUUUAUAGUUGAUUUGGUGUUCGGCAGCGUAAGUGUCUGACCAUUAAAGAGAACGCAAGUUCCACAGCAGGUAGGAAAUGUAUUAACUCACAGGAUUUCUGCACUUCUAUUCUCUCUCUCCUAGACGAGGAUAACUCUGAUCUAUAUGCGUUAGCAAACCAGCAGUGAACAGUUAAGUAAUGAUGGUUCAAUUGUAGCAUUGUGUCAACAAUAGAUAUAUUUAGUUAGCCUAUGUGACUGUGGGGAGUGUGACGGUGGGGAGCCUAGAAACUGACUGGAGUGGGAGUAAAGAUAAGAUACUGCCAAAGUGCAGAAGGGACACAACGACUACAGUGUUAUCACUUCUUCUCUUCAUGAAAAAGUACAUUUUACAUUUAGUCUCAUCCGCCAUUCAGGUCAAUCCCACCAAUCUGUGUCACGCACCAUGGGCAGAUGUAUCGAAGUUUGCAAGCUGGUCUUAUGGGUUGCAGUUUGUGUGACCUUCAUUGUCUUGGGCCGUUUUUGGACCUUCUCUGUAUUCCAACCCAACUAUGCACGGAAAGAGAUCAUCGGCAACACAGUAUACUGCAACAAAUCUCUAUACCUCUUUGUGGCCUCUACCACCAUCAUAUUGGACAUUAUUCUAUGUAUGUGGCUGCUUGUGUUGUUUUAUGUAUGUAAAUGCUUCAUACUUUGUCUGGUCUGCUGUGUCUCUUUAUGCAAGUCUGACGAUGUCAAACCUGUGCAGGUUGUUGAGCCUUUGAGGGUUGUGGAGACUGAGGACUGUGUUGAACCUAAGGAGUGUGUGGGGACUGACCUGUGUGUGUGUGUGGGGACUGAAGUGUGUGUGUGUGGGGACUGAAGUGUGUGUGUGGGGACUGAGGUGUGUAUGGGGAUUGAGGUGUGUGUGGAGACUCAGGAGAGUGUGGGGCAUGACGAGAGUGUGAGACAUGAAGAGAGUGUGGAGUAUAAGAAGUAUGUGGUAACUGGGCAGAGUGAGUCCAACAUUGCUCAUUAUUAAUGCAAUUCACUAUUCACAAUACCAAUAGUAAUUUCAAUGAAUUUGUCUAUUUUGGGGGGUGAGAUAAUGUAGAUGUCAUCAUAAAAAAUAAGCAAUCAAUGGGUCAAUUUGUGCCAUUAUGUUACCAAAAAUCUGAAGAUUAAAAUAAAAAUAUUAAUUCCCACUUUGAUUUUCAAGAUUUAAAAUGUACCUUGGUAGACAAAUAUUACCUUUCCAUUUUUGAGCAGAAUGAUAAUCAUUUGGCUAAUAAGCUGCUGUUCCACUUCACAAACACACGCCCUGAAAUAGUUUAGUGGAACGGCCCAUCAAUGAAAACGCACACCCAAAGAAAAUGGACUGGUGUGUUAAAAUGCCUGGGCCGACUAUUGGUCCGAUUUUGCCCCUGCUGUAGUUCGUAAAUCAUUACAAUUAUAAUAACUAACUGGAUCAAAUUGUGUGACCAUCAUCUUAGUGCUUGACAAAUACUAGGCCUAAGCACAACGCCUCUCCCCUAUUUGACCUAGAUAGUUUGUGUACGUAUUAAUAUGUAGGCUAAGUGCAACCGAUAUGAAUGUCUAGCUAGUUAGCGGUGGUGUCCGCUAAUAGCGUUUCAAUCGGUGACGUCACUCGCUUUGAGACCUUGAAAUAGUGGUUCCCCGGCUGCGCAUUUUGUGGAGCGAUGGGUAACGAUGCACCGAGGGUGACUGUUGAUGUGUGCAGAGGGUCCCUGGGUCGAGCCCAGGUUGGGGCGAGGAGAGGGAUGGACUCAAGUUAUACUGUUACAUAAG